rnacentral:ncRNA from 1 species
CAACGGGGUGUCGGCGAGCCGGCUGAGAAAUACCCGCAGAACCUGAUCCGGAUCAUGCUGGCGUAGGGAUUGAG